AACGAACGCUGGCGGCAGGCCUAACACAUGCAAGUCGAACGAGAAGCUAUCCUUCGGGGUAGUGGAAAGUGGCAGACGGGUGAGUAACGCGUGGGAACGUGCCUUUCGGUUCGGAAUAACUCAGGGAAACUUGGGCUAAUACCGGAUACGCCCUUCGGGGGAAAGAUUUAUCGCCGAAAGAUCGGCCCGCGUCGGAUUAGCUUGUUGGUGAGGUAAAAGCUCACCAAGGCGACGAUCCGUAGCUGGUCUGAGAGGAUGAUCAGCCACACUGGGACUGAGACACGGCCCAGACUCCUACGGGAGGCAGCAGUAGGGAAUAUUGGCAAU
rnacentral:rRNA from 1 species